rnacentral:lncRNA from 1 species
UGUGAAGUAGGAGGUUUUCACCGACAGAGCGCAAUUAGACCACAACUGAAAGAGAAGGACUUUCCACGGUACAUUCUGUACAGAUCUUUCGCCCUUAGCUAUUAGAUUAGGCACAAAUAGUCUAUGUAGACCACCUGGCCUAGCAAAAGCGGGUUUCAUUGCGUCUUGAGCCUUGAGAGGGCUUGAGUUUACGUGGCAUCUUCAGCGUCUGCAAUCACUGUUUACUAUUUCGAUGCUAAUGCUACUACUGAAUUGAAUAUGAUAAUAUAGUCAAACAAAG